rnacentral:lncRNA from 1 species
CUCCCCUCCCCUCGAGGUGUCACACAUUUCUGAUGACAAUGAAUUGAUUACAAGGAGACAAGAGGAGAGUGUUCAGCUUUUUGGAGAAUGACUAGAAUUAGAUGAGAUUUAGACUGUAGCCUCAUGAAACAGGAUCUCCUGAGCUUCCCUUCAUGCCCUAGCAUAAGAAAUAAAAAUGAUGGGCACAUGUAACUGAGCUUUCACACAACGUAGUUUUUUUGUCAGUCUUGAAUUUGGUGAAAUGUAAGUAGUAGCUCACAGAAAAAAGUUUUUAUCUGUGCCUUCUUACGGUGAUUAACUAUCCUGGGGAUCAUUCUGGGCUUAGCAAAGAAUGACCUUUGUCCUGGAAAACCCCUGAAACCCAGGAAAACCAGGACAUCUGGUUACUCCACAGUCUCACCUGAGGUGUUCUGACCUCACAGAGCAGCCCGGUGACCACAGUGGUAGGGUUAAGUGAGGUCUCUAUUAGGGGCAGGCUUUUGCACAUUUACUUGGGGUUCCUGUAAAUUUCAUCCCUUGACCAAAUAAUGCUUCUGUUGCCAACAGACACAACCACAGGAAUCCUGGGAGUCACCCUGGCUGUGUCUGGAUGUCACAAAAAAUGUGAAGAGCAAAAUCCAGGCAGUUUCAUGAUGUGGUGAUGAUCAAACCCUGUCCCCCAGGGGUGUGAAAAACAGACACCUCUUUAAUAGAAUUUAGUUUUCUUAACUCAGACUUUUUUUGGGCUGAAUUUAUGCUAGCCUGUUUAGUCAUGUCUUCAAGCAACCACUUGUUACAAAGGGUUAAAGUUUUAGCUUGCUUACUAUCAUGAAAAGGGUGAGAGAAAAAGGCUAUUAUUUAGCUAAGAAGACGUAUCCAUUUUUUUUAAGGACAGCAGUCAGGGAUUCAAACGACCCUUCCCAUCUCUUCACUAUUUCACAGUAUUCACUGUCUAAAGGGCUUCCCACCCUCUCUUCAGCCUCCGCAGGACAUAAGCAAAACCAGAUGCCUGCCCUCAGCUGAGGUCCUCAAACAGACAGGCACCCAAAGUGUUGCUGUGGCAAUAAUCUCUGUGUUCCACUUACUGCAGGAAAACAGAAUUUAAUCAUGGGUUCCUUGGACUCCAGCCUUGCCAUAUAGUUCCUGCAGCUAGAAUCCACUGCAUGGAAAAUCUGGCAUACGAUUACUGUCCAGAGCUCUGGAAGAAUGCUAGCCUUGCACAGAUAUUUUCUUUGCCUGGUUAGGCUGUCAAACACCCUGACCUCGUCAAUGUUUUAAAAGGUAGGAGUUGUUACAGUUCUCAGUCCCCUAAGAGGCUGACCAAGUGCUGAGAGGGGCUCCCAGCUUCUCUGCAUUCUGGAAAACCCACCGCAGAGCCCCGCCCUAGUGUGCUUCCGGUAAGAAACCAAAGAAAAAAGCCUACUGUCUGGUCCCUAGCAUUGGCUGCCCACCCUCUGAAAAGCGACUGAGUCCUUGAGUCUCCUGGGAUGUUCAUAUGAAUCCCCUUGAAGCUUUAAUUUGAUAAGACCUCAGUGGAGACUGCUGAACCCCUGGGAUUUAACAUCAUAUAUUAUUCAUUGUUGCUGUUGCCACAGACGUGCUGAUUUUGCCCCUGCUGAGCAAGGCACUUCUGCACAUGGGAACUUGAUGGCUAACCACACUGCAUGUUCUUCAGGCAGGGCCUAUCCCAGAACGUUCCAAGCUGUCUGCUAGCAAGUCUGCAUUAACUCCCUCAAUGCUGCAUGCACGGUGUCCCUGAGUCCUUCACCACCCGCCCCGCCACCAGAGCCAGUCUUUUUAAGAAUUUUGCCUGGGCUGUGUUUUUCAAAGUGCCUCUCUCUAGUGUGCAUCUCUUCUUAAUCACAGAAAGCAGAUCUGAGAGCUUCUAAUGCACUUCUCUAUUACUUCAAGAACACUGUGUAUAAUAAUAAACUCUACAGAAAUAAACCAAAUCACAAGAAGCUUUCAGGUCUGGAGGCUGACAUUUCUCAAGACAGGACUCAUUUCAGGGAAUGACAUCGAGAGCAGGAAUGGGAAAUACAAAAUGGUGUGGGGUUGCCUCCUGCUUCUGCUCCCUUGAUGCAAAAACCCAGGCCCAGAGAGAUGAAGAAACCUGGCUAAGGUAACAUGUAAGUUAGUGUCAAAAUCAGGAUAAAACCCAGAUCUUCUGACUCUUAGUAUAGCUCUCUUUUUACCCAGCCACACUGCCUGUGUCCCUGGGACUGUUAGUAAAAUAACAGGUGAGCUGGACCCCCUUUUUGAGAUGACUGGGUAUGUUUACUGUCUGGGUCAGAUCAGUCAAGUACUCUGAGUCUAGGGUUGUUCCUAGAACAGAAGCUGGGGUUGAUGAGCAUUUGUGAGUAUUGGAGAAGGAGUGAGGGGGAGAAGCCUCACACGCAAACCCAGGCCCUGGUUUCAAUUUCGUGUAUGAGAUUACCUGAGAACGGAAUGCAAGUAACAGGCAAAUAAUUGACAUCUCAAACCUAACUGUGUAUGCAUCCUGAGUAGCUAAUAGUGAGCUGUUCACUACUAAUGCUGUGUGUAGGUUCAUCCCAAAGACAGGCUGAUCCACACAUAGACAGGCUGGUCCUAUGAUUAAGGAGUGUGAGCUGGCAUUCCCUUUAUCAGGACAAAGAUAGGUUCUGCUUCCUCUGGAUAGUCUUCAGGCAAAGCUUUACUUAUGGCCUUGCAAAUAACCCAUGGUCUCUUGGUCGAUGAACAAAAUAGCAGUAAAGAAGAUGAAUUCUCCUUAUUUAUCUUCAGUUUUCUCCCUGGAGUGAAAGUGAGGGUUAUUCUCUGGUAUAUUAGAAAAAUAGUACAUUAUACUACCUAAUGGGUUUCAGUCUGACUCAAAAUGAAAG